GCCGUGUGGGGCCCGCGGACGGGGGAGCAGCGAUGGCACCGAACGUGCAGAGCCGGGAAGGCGAAGGCCGGAGCCUCCGCAGGGGCCUCCGGGCCGUGCUGCUGGGGCCGCCCGGGGCGGGCAAGGGCACCCAGGCUCCUAAACUUGCUGAAACCUACUGCGUUUGCCACCUGGCAACAGGUGACAUGCUGAGGGCCAUGGUGGCUUCAGGAUCGGAGCUGGGUAAAAGGUUGAAGGAGACUAUGGAUGCUGGGAAGCUGGUGAGUGAUGAGAUGGUGGUGGAACUGAUUGAGAAAAACCUGCAGACUCCUCCUUGCAAAAAUGGCUUCCUGCUGGAUGGUUUCCCUCGCACAGUGAAGCAGGCAGAGAUGCUGGAUGAGCUCAUGGAGAAGAGAAGCGAGAAGCUAGAUUCUGUGAUUGAAUUCAGCAUUGCUGACUCCUUACUCAUCCGGAGGAUCACUGGACGGCUGAUCCACCCAGCAAGUGGCCGCUCUUACCAUGAGGAGUUCAAUCCCCCUAAAGAGCAUAUGAAGGACGAUGUCACCGGGGAGCCCUUGAUCCGCCGUUCUGACGAUAACGAAGUGGCUUUGAAAACUCGGCUGAAGUCCUACCACACCCAGACCAUCCCGCUGGUAGACUACUACACCAAACGAGGGAUCCAUACAGCCAUAGAUGCCUCCCAGUCCCCUGACGUGGUGUUUGCCAGCAUCUUGGCAGCCUUCUCGAAAGCCACAUAGCCCUAGUUAAUGGGAAAACCACUGCACUUUCCGCUGUUCGAUCUGUUUGGCUGGGACCCAGCAUGGCAGUAGCAGGAGUACUGAAGGUCAUGGCUGAUCUGGGAGUGGGGAGGGAGAAGCUCGCAAUCCACGGCUCAGUGACUCCAUAGGCCAGACAAGACACCACCAAAGGCUGCAUGCUCCAUCACCUCACUCCAUCCCUUCCCCUUGGGAGAAAGGGAGGGUUGGGAGGGAUGGGGGCUCAUGGCUGAUCAGAGGAAAGGUGGGGAAGAAGGAGAAGGCAGAGUGAUUUGUUUCUCAUCAGAAUCAUGUUCAAGAGGAGAUUGAUCUUUAAUUUAAAAAAAAAAAGACAUUGAAUGGUAUGAAAACGGAUUUCUGUGCCAAAGAUCAGACCGCUGAGCCUUUGCCCUGUGAUGAGCCUUGGACUUGGUGCUAUUUCAAGCUUCCAAAUGGGACUCCGGGUACUGCCGUUGCUUGGUAGCUCUGCAUGGUUUCUUUUUUCCCCUAACGUCAUUGUAGAAUGUGUUUCUGCUCCCUAAACUUAAUUCUCCUAUUGUAGGACCAAAAUGAAUACGUGAAAUGACUCCUUAGCUGUGUAAUGGAGAAAAGAGCUGACUAAAUUGUACUUCCCUCAUUUCCUGGAUAUUUUGGCCUUCCUAAAACAAGGCAAAGGUGGUCUGAGGAGCUUUCUGCUCCUCUGUGAUGCCAUCCGGGACCUGAGCUCGAGCCCAAGCCUUCCAUCUUUCUGAUCUUGAUAAAGCAGAACUUCCUAAAAUGCUGAAGAAAUACGUAGGAUUUUACCCCUCUUCCACUUGACUGGAAGCGACAAUGAUUUCGAUUUUUUGCCUCUUUUUACAAACCAAAUGCUGCCUUGUCUAGUCUCUGAAUCAAUAAAACAUACUUUACAUUU